GUGGCAAGUUUCAUAGUGAUAUUUAAAAUGUUUUUAUUUUUUAAAAAGUAGGCAUAUAUGUGCAAAUGGGUACAGUUAAUCAUAAGGCCAGAAGAGGGCAGUGUGUACCCUGGAGCUGGGGUUACAGAGGUUGUGAGCCACUUGACAUGGGUACUGGGAACUGAACUUGAGUCCUCUGGAAGAGCAGUAAUAAACUCUUAACUGGUGAACCGUCUUCUAGUCUACAGAAUGACAUUUGAGUUAAGUUUAUUCUGCAGUGAGACCAUAUUCAACCCCAUUACCCUCUCUUCUCCCUCCUCCCCACUUCAGCUCUCUGCUUCUCCCUUCCUCUUCCCAAAUAGUCUCUACUCUACUUGUGUGUGUGUGUGGUGUGUGUGUGUGUUUGUUGUGGUGUGUGUAUGUUGUACUGUGUGUGUGUUGUGUGUGUGUUGUGUAUGUUGUGGUGUGUGGGUAUAUGGUCAUGUGUGUGUAGUGUGUGUUGUGUGUGUAUGUAGUGUGAUAUGUGUGUGUGUGUGUGUGUGUGUGUGUGUGUUAAAUCUAGGAGAUGUUUGUCUUCCUGGAUCAGACUUACAUUUCAUAGCACAACCAUCUCCAGUUACAUCCAUUUUCCUCCAAAUGACAUUAUUAUACUUUUCUUUGUGGCUGAAUAAAACUCUUCGGUGGGUGAGGUAGAACAUGGAAUAGGAGAAUUCAAUUUUUCUUUUGCAGCUUCGCUCAUGGAGAAAGUGUUCUUAUGAAACAUGGAAGGCCCC
rnacentral:lncRNA from 1 species